rnacentral:rRNA from 1 species
UAGGGGAUAUUGGUGAAUGGGCGAAAGCCUGAACCAGCAACGCCGCGUGUGCGAUGAAGGCCUUCGGGUUGUAAAGCACUUUUUGCCGGGAAGAGGAAGGACGGUACCGGUAGAAUAAGCCUCGGCUAACUACGUGCCAGCAGCCGCGGUAAAACGUAGGAGGCGAGCGUUAUCCGGAUUUACUGGGUGUAAAGCGCGUGCAGGCGGUUUGGUAAGUUGGGUGUGAAAGCUCCUGGCUCAACUGGGAGAGGUCGCUCAAGACUGCCAGACUGGAGCGUGGUAGGGAAGGCGGAAUUCCGGGUGUAGUGGUGAAAUGCGUAGAUAUCCGGAGGAACACCAGUGGCGAAAGCGGCCUUCUGGACCAUGACUGACGCUCAGACGCGAAAGCUAGGGGAGCAAA